UGGCAGUUGUAUCAGCUCGGGAUCACAGCACCACAGAUUGAGCUAGGUUGGAAAAGACCUCUGAGGUCAUCGAGUCCAUCCCAUGACUGAGCACCACCAUGGGAACUAGACAAUGCCACAUCCAGUCUUUCCUUGAGCGCCUCCAGGGAUGGUGACUCCACCGCCUCCCCGGGUAGCGCAUUCCAAUGUCGAAUCACCCUUUCUGUAGAGGAAUUCCUCCAGCUGUCCAACCUGAACCUCCCCUGGGCAGCCUGAGCUUGCGUCCUCUUGUCCUGGCACUGAUGGCCGGGGGAAAGAGGCCGAUCUGCACUUGCCUACGACCUUCUGGGAGUUACAGAGAGCGAUAAAGUCAUCCCUGAGCCUCCUCUGCUCCAGCCUAGACACCCUCAGCCAUUCCUUACAGGACUUGUGCUCCGGACCCUUCACCAGCUCCACUGCCCUUCUCUGGAGCCUUUCCAGCACCUCAAUGUCCUUUUUACAGGGAGGGCCCAGAACUGGACACAGCACUCGAAGUGAGGCCUCACCAGUGCAGGGGGACAAUCCCUGCCCUGGUCCUGCUGGCCACGCUCUUGCUGAUACAGACCAGGAUGCCACCAGCAUUCUUGGUCCCCUGGGCACAGCUGGCUCAUGUUUAGGAGGAGGGAGGGAUCCUGAGGUUCCUGCCUGUUCCCGUAGUAGUUUGUGCAUUUCAGCAGGUGACAAUUUGAAGCAGCGUGUUGCCCGGCUCAUACCUCAUCACUUGACUUCUCACACCUGCCUUUGGUGCAAGGUAGCCUAGAGGUGCUGCUCAGACCCACAUAGUCCACUGGGAUUUCAGAUACCAACAAACAAUUUGUCUUAGAUGAUAAUGCUGCAUCUUCGUGAAGAGCGCACUUGAGUUGAACUGUACUUGAGAGCAAAGGUCAUUCAUGGAGUUUCUCCAAGUGCUUGUUUGUUUUCUGUCAUUUCAACUCUUUAAAAAAAUCCAGAAAGUGAAAACUAACAGAGUAAAUUAAAAUCACUUGUGACUCAUGCACGCUGAUGGACAUUCAUGCCAUUCUGUUUCAUAAGUGGUCAACAGUGUUUAUCCAAGAUGUUCUGUAUGUUUUUCUGAGUUUGUAUCUAAAAUGUGGUGCAAAAUGUAAACUGCA